CUCUCUAUCUCUAUCUCUCGUGGAGAACUGCGCAUCCGAAGCAGAGUUCGCGAUGGAGAUCAUUGCAACGAUCGAGUGAGUCGAGGGCUGUAUAAUUUGUUUUGGGACGUGUCUUAUAUCGUCUCUCUGUCUGAUCAGAAGCUUUGGUAAUAAUGUCAGUUGAUAGUUUCUGGCUCGUUGCCCGCGGGAUCGGAUCGUGUUCUCGGACGCAGUUUUGGUCGAGCGGAUUCGAGAGAAUCUCACAUUCCUUCAAAGCUGUGCACCAGCAGACUUCAGGUGACACUUGAAAUAUCGCCCUGAACUACUGGACAGGUUAAUACUGUCGUUCCUUUGAAAGUUGUUUUGUUUACCUUUUGGAAGCCGAUGAUUACACUUCCGAAUAGUUUAUAUCUUCCACAGGAUUUAUACCUCUAUAUUGUUGAUGCUCUGUCCUCA